ensembl:lncRNA
GUUUCUUAGAGUUAUCUCAGGAAAAGAGCCAGCAGGUUUGGGGUCCUGCAAAAUCAAGAAACAAGCAAAGAUGAUUUGAACAAACAACCAAGGAGAUUAAAAUCAGACUACCAUGGCUAUUAUCAACAUGGCUAUUAUCCCUCUGUGGCAGAUGUCACUGCAGUUUUUAGCUCAAAGCAUGAAUGUGAGUCCAUUCCAGUUCUUCGUUGCUGUAAGAUGUGCAGCUGAAAAUGGAACUUCAGGAGCUAACUGGUAAGGUAAGAGGGUCACAGCAUCUUUUGAAUGGGCACAGGCAGCUUCCUCCUCUGGCCAGCUGUCUUCACACCAGUCACAUCUGAGCUGUGAAACCAUCAGGUUUUCAAACAGCGACACUUCUAAGGAUUUAUUUUUUCACAGUAGAUAGCACAUAGUGGGAAUAAAUAUUUCUAAAACUUUUCCUAGUUUUUUGUUUUGUUUUGUUUUUCUCCAAAGCUCACAGGCUUGAUGUUUUUCUUCAUCUCCCUCUGACAUAUCACUCUAUGCCAUCCCCACAACUACCUGGGAAGUGCACGCUGCACGCAGAAUAGCAAUCAAAGCCAUAUUCUUUAGUCUGCUUCUGUGUAAUCCUGACUCAAGCUUCCCAUCUCAAUUUUUAAAAUGUUAUUAAAGUGUAAAUUACAGAAGAUAACACUACUUCCAAGGACAGAGAAUAUUAAAAUAAGUUCGCAGUGCUAAGAGAGAAAUAUCAGUCACUGGCAAGAAGCAGCCUAGGAUCUGAACAAAUUCCAUGCCGUUUGGAGAAACAAGUAAAUGAAACAGAAUUAAUCAGCAGAUGUAAAAGAGAGAGUGAGAUGCCGAUACAAUAUGGAAAAGAUGUACAUGAGGGCAUGAAACAAUCAGCAUGUGCAUCAAAUCAUCAGCUGGAUACUGUACAGAUGGAAAGAACUCUGAAGAAAUGCUACAAGAUACUUGAAGAGGGUUCAAGCUGGACAUGAAUUAAAGGGAAAUUAAAGCAAUCUGUGCCUCUCUCUCUUGCUCGCAUGUACAUGCACACAACACACACAGCCUACCUUCAAUAAGUCCUUCCCCAUCCCGGUUUUCUGACCCUUGCUCUUCCUCUGCCAAGUCAGGGCUGACCUUUGCAGCAGGCCUGGAAGGCUGGGCUGUAGUGGCAAAAGGGUGGCACAAAGAACAGACGAGGUUUUUUCACAGAUUCCUCACAACUCCCAUGAACCAGACUCAGGAGGGAAAGAUGUAGAAACAGUCAGGCACAGCAAAUAGAAUUAGGAAAUAUUUUGAAAAUAGACUUGCAAGCCAGGACAUGCAAUAGCCAAAUCCACUUUGCGUCUCAAUGUGACACAAGUUCAAAGGUUUGAAUUACUCAAGAACAUCCUGUGUUUAGCCAACACCGCUAAUCUGGUGCAUCUAUCGUCUGGCCAAUGUUUCUUCCUUUCCUUUCUCAGCGUACCCAGCACAGAGAAGUGCUAUGUUACAGACACUCAUAAACAGUCUGAAUGUGAGCAAAACAUCAGCACAGCUUUGGAAAGCAGGCCAUAUAUUCACAGUCAUGAUGGGUUUAAAUUUUGUUUUGUUGUUCUUCCUGCUGUUUGCCAGCAAUAAAUGGCAAUUGUACUUUCCGACCAUGUUCAGCUGGGCUCUACGCCAUUUUCUGCUGUUUUUGAUGGCAGAGUUCUCCAAGACAUAUAUUAGAAUAUCUGGCCUAUGCAAUAA